rnacentral:rRNA from 1 species
GAUGAACGCUGGCGGCGUGCCUAAUACAUGCAAGUCGAGCGAACAGACCAGGAGCUUGCUCCUCUGACGUUAGCGGCGGACGGGUGAGUAACACGUGGAUAACCUACCUAUAAGACUGGGAUAACUUCGGGAAACCGGAGCUAAUACCGGAUAAUAUAUUGAAUCGCAUGGUUCAUUAGUGAAAGACGGCUUUGCUGUUACUUAUAGAUUGAUCCGCGGCGCAUUAGCUAGUUGGUAAGGUAACGGCUUACCAAGGCGACGAUGCGUAGCCGACCUGAGAGGGUGAUCGGCCACACUGGAACUGAGACACGGUCCAGACUCCUACGGGAGGCAGCAGUAGGGAAUCUUCCGCAAUGGGCGAAAGCCUGACGGAGCAACGCCGCGUGAGUGAAGAAGGUCUUCGGAUCGUAAAGCUCUGUUAUUAGGGAAGAACAAAUGUGUAAGUAACUAUGCACGUCGUGACGGUACCUAAUCAGAAAGCCACGGCUAACUACGUG